rnacentral:lncRNA from 10 species
GUUGGGGUAGAAGGGAGGACAGGAUGGAGGGGAGGAGGGAGCCUGCUUACAGUGCACCUGCAGGAGCCUCUACCCCAGAUCCUGCUCCUGAGGGCAGACUGCUACUGGAGUCUUCAACCCGAAGCUGAGGCACAGACAAGGGUGGCUGUUUGCUGGGGAUGUACAGGACGAAGCCAAGGGUGGAGAGGGAAGAUGAUGGCUGCAGGCUAAGGGCUGUAGACUGGUGCUGCCCCCUAUCCCCAAGAUGACUUUCUGGCCCAGAAUUCAGAAGACCCUGAAGAUUGGAACUAGAACCUGGCUUUCCAGGUCUUUCUGAAGGUCUGCUUGCCAAGGACCACUAAGCGUGAAGCAGGUAGAGUGAGACUUAGGACCCCGGGAGAAAAACCGCCCCUGGAGGGCGCGCCACGGGUGUGCGGUGUAGACGCGGGCGGGCCGGCGGCGGAGGAGGAGGUCCCGGCGCCGACCCCUGGAGCGGAGGCAGCAGCCGGGCGCAGCGAGACAAUUUCCACUCUUUCAGCUCCAGCUGGGCUGACUGCAGCUGCAGGGCAGAAAUUCUUUCCAGAGCCUGAGCAGAGCAAGAACCUCUGUGAUGUGGCUGACCUCAGACACUGGACCCAACACUUCCUCCCCAGCCUGAACAUUUGCGUCACUCCAUCUUAUGGCACCAGGCACCAUGAGGCUAUAAGGAGGACGGGGACGGGCUGUCUUUUUGUGCCAUUCCUUUUGGGGCCCAGGACCUAAGCAGGAACUUCAAAGGGACCCUGUUGGCACCAGCUCUUCUGAGAAGCACAUGGAACUACUGCCCUCCCUUUCCUAGGGGCUGGGCCCUCAGAGCUGCAGGGUGCAGGCCUACGUGAGCAUUUGGGCACCACUCCAAAGGCUUCUGUGUCAUUUCCUGGUGACCUUCAAGCAACAGAGAUUGUUAGGUGGGGCAGGAUUUUAAAGACCCAACUUCACUGGGGACCUGACGGUAGCAUCCAAGGAAAGGCGUCAGCCUUCUGCUCUAGAAUUCAUGUUCUCACGGUUUUGCCUCUAGCCUCAGAGGGAUCUGCACUCCCAGCAGAUUAAGAUCCUCGUUUCUAGGCCAACACACCCAUUUCACAGAUGAGGAAACUGAGAGUCAGAAAAGGCAUGGACAAGCCCUGCCAGUGAGCAACACUAGCUCUAGACUCUGGGUCUCUCCCAGGCAGCUUGGCUCAAACCAAGCCUCUUACAUCAGCAUUAUUUUAUUUAUUGCUUCCCCUUCCCUACUCUUCCACACCCCUCUGUAUCAACGGAACAGCUACUUGGACCCUCCUGGAGGAGGGCCCCACAGGGCAGGGUCUCAGAGUUGUUGGCAAAGACUUGGGGAGCUGGGGCUCCCUGGCAUGAAGAUGGAGGUUCUGCCCUCUCCUCCCAGGGGCCAGAAGGGGGCCCACAGUGAAGCAAAAGAAGAGAAAAGCAGCCUGCUCACUCUGCCUCUCCAGAGGGAGGUGAUGGGAAGUGGCAGCCAUGGAGGGAGCCCGCAGGGUCUGGCCCCCAGGGCCCUGGGGCACAAUUACCUCAUCAGGCAUUUCCAGCUUUUAUGAUCUGCCAACAAGGCCACAAGUGACGCAGACACCUCCCCUGGCAGCCUGUUCUCCAGGGCGAUGGGUGGUGAUCUCACCCUUGCUGGAAUGCCACUGCCAUCCGCAUGCCCCUGGCCAGGCCAGAGGCCACCAGGCCGAGGCCCAGGCACUGAGCAGGGGCCAGAGGGAGUGAAGUGGCCUAGAUGAAGAGAAGGAGUCAGCAGGUGAGCUGAGGAUGCCACCCAGGAGGCCUGAAACUGGGGCUGGGAGGCUAAGAGAGCUCGGCCCUAGGGAAACAAGAGAGGGCUUGAAGUGCAUUCAAGUCAGUGGGACAGCUACUCCCGGGCCCUCCUGCUUGGAAUCCCCAAACUGGGCAGCGUGGGGCACCUUCAACUGCUGCUCACUCUGUGCUCACCUUCCUCAGCUCAGGGAUCUCAAACAGCCAGUGUUUCCCUCCCCACACACCAGACACACACACACACACACAUGCACACACACCACACACAUGGCCUGUGCAUCUGUGUAACAAAUCACUAGUAUUGAGUUCAAAUCUUGAAUUGGACACUUGGUAAUGGAAAGACACCUUGGGCAAGUUACUUUCCCUCUGUGUGCCUCAGUUUCCUUGCAAAAUGGGAAUCACACCAAUAGUGUUUUCUUCAUAGGGCUACAGUGAGCCAGUGCGUAGUGUCUGGAAUGUGGGACGUGCUCAGAAAAGGGUAGUUAUCACUGCUGCUGAGUAACGAGAGCAGGCUAGAGGAGAAUGUUCAUAGCCCCCUACCUCUACCUUUGCCCCCAAGUCAGUAAGCGGCAACUAAAGGCAGGGAGCCAUCUCGGAAGUGCUGGAGGCCCACACUCAAGGACUCCAAGUGUGACUGAUAUUAAAGAACAGCAACGUAGAUUUUAGGGCAUCAUCUGUCUACCCCAUUGGUACUUUGAACACUUCAAGUAAUUAUUAUCUCUGUUAUAAUAAAUAAUGCAAUUGAGGUUGAGAGAGUGUAAAUGGCUAUGGCUAUUCAAAGUGACACAGCUAACCACAAAAAUCAAGGUUUACACACAGUACUUCACUGGCCAAGGCCCCCCGCCCCAGAGGUCACUGACCGCUAGUGUUCUAGUGGUUUUGUUUGUUUGUUUGUUUGUUUUUUCUUUGCUCUGUCGCCCAAGCUGGAGUGCAGUGGCACAAUCUCAGCUGUCUGCAACCUCUGCCUCCCAGGUUUAAGCGAUUCUCCUGCCUUAGCCUCCUGAGUAGCUUGGACUACAGGCGCGCAUCACCACACCUGGCUAAUUUUUGUAUUUUUAGUAGAGAUGGGGUUUCGCCAUGUUGGCCAGGGCUGGUCUCGAGCUCCUGACCUCAAGCCAUCCCACCCACCUCAGCCUCCCAAAGUGCUGGGAUUACAGGUAUGAGCCUCCAGGCCUGGCCUUUUCUAGUGUUUUGUACUCAAUUAUACAGAUUUGUAUUAAUUCAGCACAUAUGAACUGAACACUUAGUCUCUACCCAACCCUGAUCUAGAUAUUGUCUAUAUGCAAAAGAGGAAGAGAUGGUUAGGGAGACCAACUAACAGAAAACCAUUUAUAUAAAUGCAGAAAACAGAAUAUGUAACAAACCAUUUUCUCUCUGGGUAUAGGAAUUAGGAUAUAGGCUAAAUUGCUGUAAUAGGAACUCACUAUUACAAUGGCUUAAGUAAGAUUUGUUUAUUUCUCUUUCAUAAUAGUCUAGAGGUGAGUGGCCCAGACUGGCAGGGCAGCUCUGUUCCAUAAAAACAUUCAGGGAUCCAAGUUCUGUUCAUCUUUUUGCUGUCCCAUCCCCUAAGGCAGUGGUCCCCAACCUUUUGGGCACCAGGGACCGGUAUGGGGACAUAGCCCACACCAACAGCCCACACCAACAGCCUUGGCCCAUGGGCUUCCUAAACGGAGGCAGCCCCAGUUUUGUGGAAGACAAUUUUUCCAUGGACCAGAGGGUGGGGGAAUGAUGGUUUGGGGAUGAUUCAAGUGCAUUACGUUUAUUGUGCACUUUAUUUUUAUUGUCAUAUAAUAUACAAUUUACAUUAUAAUAUAUAAUGAAAAGUAUAAAAAUUAUGCAACAUACCAUUAUGUAGAAUCAGUGGCAGCCCUGAGCUUGUUUCCCUGCAACUAGACAGUCCCAUCUGGAAGUGAUGGGAGACAGUGACAGAUCAUCAGGCAUUAGAUUCUCAUAAGGAGCCACAACCUAGGUCCCUCACAUGCACAGUUCACAGUAGAACUCACGCUUCUAUGAGAAUCUAAUGCCACUGCUGAUGUGACAGGAGGCAGAGCUCAGGCGGUAAUGUGAGCGAUGGGAGUGGCUGUAAAUACAGAUGAAGCUUUGUUUGCUUGCCCACUGGUCACCUUCUGCUGUGCGCCCCAGUUCCUAAUAGGCUGCAGACCAGUACUGGUCCAUGGCCUAGGGGUUGGGGACUCCUGCCCUAAGGCAAGGGUUCUCAACCUGGAGUCCAUAGAUAGAAAUCAAGGGAUUUGUGAACUUGCAUAGAAAAAAAUUACAUCUGUACUUUCAAAAACUUCUACAUGAAAUUUAGCAUUUCCUUCAAUUAUGCAAACGGCAAUAAACCUCUGAAGUACUAGCAAGAUCAAAGACUUUGUGGCCAAUAGAAAUCAUAAAGAUUUUUCAUCUCACAUUACAAUGUUGAAGAUAUCUCAAAAUAUCACUUAAUGUUUAUUACCAUUUUAAAAUUACAGUUGUUAUCAGCCCUGCUGCUAGAUUUUAUUAUUUAAUGUCAAUAAAGAAGUACAUUUUUACUGUGUCACAAAUUUAGGUGUGCUUGUGUAUGUGCUUAUGUUACAGUUAUUUUAAUAUCUGUAUUUCAGUAUAAUUGGUUUCUUUUGUAACCUUCUGUAUUUUAUUUUAUACAUUAAAAUAAAUGCAUAUGGAGUGAUAAAGUCCAUAGGCUUCACUGUACUGCCAAGGGAGCUCAUGUCACGAAGAAAGUUAGAGACCCCUGGCUCAGGCAGUUGUCCCCACAGGCAUGGCCCAAGCUGAGUCACUGCCCAUUUGUGACCCAGCACAUGGGAGCCCAGAAAGAGGAAAAGGGAAGGACACGCUAUUUCCUCCUAAACGAGUGAUGCAAAACUUGCCCCUGUCACUCCACUCAUUUUCUGUUGGUGAGAACUUUGUCACAUGGCCACACGGAAAUAGCUGCAAGGAAAGCAGAGAAAUAAGGUGUCCCACAUGGGGCCCAUUUGCCACAACUCUGCUACAUGGAAGGGAGGAAGGGAGGAACCAAGGAAAGAAGGAGGAAUUUUGAGGUCUAAAUAAGAGUUGAGGUUUUCUUAUCUGUAAAAGCAGGAGGUGGAAAUAGAGCAGUGGUUUUUCGUAUUUUUGACCAGUUAACAUCUUGUUUCAAAGGAAGUCACAUCCUACAGAUGGAAGCAGGGCAUCUUGUUUAAGUGGUGAGAGGAGACCCAGGACUCUUCCGGCAUGGGCUCCCCUUUCCUGACCCUUUCCCCAAGGGGGCUCCCUGAAGCACCUCCUAGCAACCCUAGGCCAAGGAGAAGUUUGCCAUCUGCAU